rnacentral:rRNA from 1 species
UACGGGGGGAGCAAGCGUUGUUCGGAUUUACUGGGCGUAAAGGGCGCGUAGGCGGCCACCGCAAGUCGACUGUGAAAUCUCCGGGCUUAACCCGGAAAGGUCAGCCGAUACUGCGGGGCUAGAGUGCAGAAGGGGCAACUGGAAUUCUCGGUGUAGCGGUGAAAUGCGUAGAUAUCGAGAGGAACACCUGCGGCGAAGGCGGGUUGCUGGGCUGACACUGACGCUGACAGCGCGAAAGCUAGGGGAGCAAACGGG